rnacentral:rRNA from 1 species
UACGUAGGUGGCAAGCGUUGUCCGGAUUUACUGGGCGUAAAGAGCGCGCAGGCGGUCGUUCAAGUCGCGUGUGAAAGCCCCCGGCUCAACUGGGGAGGGUCACGCGAUACUGAUCGACUCGAAGGCAGGAGAGGGUAGUGGAAUUCCCGGUGUAGUGGUGAAAUGCGUAGAUAUCGGGAGGAACACCAGUGGCGAAGGCGGCGACCUGGGCCAAUAUUGACGCUGAGGUGGCGAAAGCGUGGGGAGCAAACAGGG